rnacentral:rRNA from 1 species
GGGAUUGCCCUAGUAACGGCGAGUGAAGCGGCAACAGCUCAAAUUUGAAAUCUGGCUCUUUCAGAGUCCGAGUUGUAAUUUGCAGAGGGCGCUUUGGCGUUGGCAGCGGUCCAAGUUCCUUGGAACAGGACGUCACAGAGGGUGAGAAUCCCGUACGUGGUCGCUGGCCUUCGCCGUGUAAAGCCCCUUCGACGAGUCGAGUUGUUUGGGAAUGCAGCUCUAAAUGGGAGGUAAAUUUCUUCUAAAGCUAAAUACUGGCCAGAGACCGAUAGCGCACAAGUAGAGUGAUCGAAAGAUGAAAAGCACUUUGGAAAGAGAGUCAAAUAGCACGUGAAAUUGUUGAAAGGGAAGCGCUUGCAGCCAGACUUGCCUGUAGUUGCUCAUCCGGGCUUUUGCCCGGUGCACUCUUCUGCGGGCAGGCCAGCAUCAGUUUGGGCGGUUGGAUAAAGGUCUCUGUCAUGUACCUCUCUUCGGGGAGGCCUUAUAGGGGAGACGUCAUACAACCAGCCUGGACUGAGGUCCGCGCAUUUUGCUAGGAUGCUGGCGUAAUGGCUGUAAGCGGCCCGUCUUGAAACACGGACCAAGGAGUCUAACAUCUAUGCGAGUGUUUGGGUGUCAAGCCCGAACGCGUAAUGAAAGUGAACGGAGGUGGGACCCCAUUAGGGUGCACCAUCGACCGAUCCUGAUGUCUUCGGAUGGAUUUGAGUAAGAGCAUGGCUGUUGGGACCCGAAAGAUGGUGAACUAUGCUUGAAUAGGGUGAAGCCAGAGGAAACUCUGGUGGAGGCUCGCAGCGGUUCUGACGUGCAAAUCGAUCGUCAAAUUUGGGCAUAGGGGCGAAAGACUAAUCGAACUAUCUAGUAGCUGGUUCCUGCCG